rnacentral:rRNA from 2 species
AUCCGAACUCUUUAAUGAAAUGACAAAAAACACGAACCCAUUUCGAACUCGAAUAGUGAAAUCAUUUUAUGCCAUAUGUACUGAUUUGUUAAUUUCGGGAGACGUGGUUGAAGUUUGGUU